AUUGAACGCUGGCGGCAUGCCUUACACAUGCAAGUCGAACGGUAACAGGUUAAGCUGACGAGUGGCGAACGGGUGAGUAAUAUAUCGGAACGUGCCCAGUCGUGGGGGAUAACGCAGCGAAAGCUGUGCCAAUACCGCAUACGAUCUACGGAUGAAAGCGGGGGAUCGCAAGAGCCAGCGCGUUCGGAGCGGCCGAUAUCAGAUUAGCUAGUUGGUGGGGUAAAAGCCCACCAAGGCGACGAUCUGUAGCUGGUCUGAGAGGACGACCAGCCACACUGGAACUGAGACACGGUCCAGACUCCUACGGGAGGCAGCAGUGGGGAAUUUUGGACAAUGGGCGAAAGCCUGAUCCAGCAAUGCCGCGUGCAGGACGAAGGCCUUCGGGUUGUAAACUGCUUUUGUACGGAGCGAAACGGUCCCUUCUAAUAAAGGGGGCUAAUGACGGUACCGUAAGAAUAAGCACCGGCUAACUACGUGCCAGCCGCCGCGGUAA
rnacentral:rRNA from 1 species